AUUGAACGCUGGCGGCAGGCCUAACACAUGCAAGUCGAACGAGUGGCGGACGGGUGAGUAAUGUAUGGGGAACUGCCUGAUGGAGGGGGAUAACUACUGGAAACGGUAGCUAAUACCGCAUACCAUCAGAUGAACCCAUAUGGGAUUAGCUAGUUGGUGGGGUAACGGCUCACCGAGGCGACGAUCCCUAGCUGGUCUGAGAGGAUGAGCAGCCACACUGGGACUGAGACACGGCCCAGACUCCUACGGGAGGCAGCAGUGGGGAAUAUUGCACAAUGGGCGCAAGCCUGAUGCAGCCAUGCCGCGUGUAUGAAGAAGGCCUUCGGGUUGUAAAGUACUUUCAGUCGGGAGGCGUUACCGACAGAAGAAGCACCGGCUAACUCCGUGCCAGCAGCCGCGGUAAUUC
rnacentral:rRNA from 1 species